CGUGCCUAAUACAUGCAAGUCGAGCGAGCUGAACCAACAGAUUCACUUCUGAUAUGACUUUGGGAACCUGAGUGGCGGACGGGUGAGUAACGCGUGGGCAACCUGCCUUAUACAGGGGGAUAACAGUUAGAAAUGACUGCUAAAACCGCAUAAGACCACGGGAUCGCAUGAUACAGUGGUAAAAACUCCGGUGGUAUAAGAUGGGCCCGCGUCUGAUUAGCUGGUUGGUGAGGUAACGGCUCUACCAAGGCAACGAUCAGUAGCCGGCUUGAGAGAGUGGACGGCCACAUUGGGACUGAGACACGGCCCAGACUCCUACGGGAGGCAGCAGUGGGGAAUAUUGCACAAUGGGGGGAACCCUGAUGCAGCGACGCCGCGUGAGUGAAGAAGUACUUCGGUAUGUAAAGUUCUAUCAGCAGGGAAGAAAAUGACGGUACCUGACUAAGAAGCCCCGGCUAACUACGUGCCAGCAGCCGCGGUAA
rnacentral:rRNA from 1 species